rnacentral:rRNA from 1 species
CCUACGGGAGGCAGCAGUGGGGAAUAUUGCGCAAUGGGCGAAAGCCUGACGCAGCGACGCCGCAUGAGGGAUGAAGGUCUUCGGAUCGUAAACCUCUGUCUGCAGGGAAGCACGGUCACUGUGCUAAUCAGCAGUGAAUUGACGGUACCUGCAAAGGAAGCACCGGCUAACUCCGUGCCAGCAGCCGCGGUAAUACGGAGGGUGCGGGCGUUAAUCGGAAUUACUGGGCGUAAAGCGCUCGUAGGCGGUAUGUCAAGUCAAGGGGGAAAUCCCCGCGCUCAACGUGGGAACUGCCUUUGAAACUGGCAAACUGGAGUGUGUGAGAGGAUGGUGGAAUUCCUGGUGUAGGGGUGAAAUCCGUAGAUAUCUGGAGGAACAUCGGUGGCGAAGGCGACUAUCUGGCACAUCACUGACGCUGAGGAGCGAAAGCGUGGGUAGCAAACAGGAUUAGAUACCCCUGUAGUC